rnacentral:rRNA from 1 species
AAGUUAGAAAGGGCGCACGGUGGAUGCCUUGGCACUAGGAGCCGAAGAAGGACGGGACUAACACCGAUAUGCUUUGGGGAGCUGUACGUAAGCGUUGAUCCAGAGAUUUCCGAAUGGGGGAACCCACUAUCUUUAGUCGGAUAGUAUCCUUACGUGAAUACAUAGCGUAAGGAAGGCAGACCCAGGGAACUGAAACAUCUAAGUACCUGGAGGAAGAGAAAGAAAAAUCGAUUUCCUGAGUAGCGGCGAGCGAAACGGAAAGAGCCCAAACCAAGAAGCUUGCUUCUUGGGGUUGUAGGACACUCUAUACGGAGUUACAAAAGAAAGUUAUAAAUGAAGCGGUCUGGAAAGGCCCGCCAAAGACGGUAACAGCCCGGUAGUUGAAAUGGCUUUCCCUCCAGAGUGGAUCCUGAGUACGGCGGAACACGUGAAAUUCCGUCGGAAUCCGGGAGGACCAUCUCCCAAGGCUAAAUACUCCCUAGUGACCGAUAGUGAACCAGUACCGUGAGGGAAAGGUGAAAAGCACCCCGGAAGGGGAGUGAAACAGUUCCUGAAACCGUGUGCCUACAAGUAGUUAGAGCCCGUUAAUGGGUGAUAGCGUGCCUUUUGUAGAAUGAACCGGCGAGUUACGAUUUGUUGCAAGGUUAAGCGGAAAAAGCGGAGCCGUAGCGAAAGCGAGUCUGAAUAGGGCGCAUAAGUAACAGGUCGUAGACCCGAAACCAGGUGAUCUACCCAUGUCCAGGAUGAAGGUAAGGUAAUACUUACUGGAGGUCCGAACCCACGCACGUUGAAAAGUGCGGGGAUGAGGUGUGGGUAGCGGAGAAAUUCCAAUCGAACUUGGAGAUAGCUGGUUCUCUCCGAAAUAGCUUUAGGGCUAGCCUCGAGGUAAAGAGUCAUGGAGGUAGAGCACUGUUUGGACUAGGGGCCCUUCUCGGGUUACCGAAUUCAGAUAAACUCCGAAUGCCAUGUACUUAUACUCGGGAGUCAGACUGCGAGUGAUAAGAUCCGUAGUCGAAAGGGAAACAGCCCAGACCACCAGUUAAGGUCCCCAAAUAUAUGUUAAGUGGAAAAGGAUGUGGGGUUGCUUAGACAACCAGG